CCUGCGCCGUUUAUUGAAAGGGGGCCUCAGUUUUUGUCGUCUGCUGAACGUGGUUUUCUCGGCACAAAUCAACUUCAAUAAAUUAGGCGACAGGGGAGAAGUCUAAUAGAAGGCCUAUCAGACAGGUGCCAACUGGUUCUUCUAAAGGCAGGAAAGUCUUAGAGACUUAGCCAAAGUCAGGGAUGCUGAUCUGCAUCCUGUGAGAAAAGAAAUAGCGACUGCUGCUGUUGCACAUACACAAUGGAAGUUGUCUAUUACAAGUCACAAAUUAUAGAUCUGACCACAACGUUAUUAUAAUUAUAGUUCUAACAAGAGUCAGAUGACU